rnacentral:ncRNA from 1 species
ACAAAGGAUUAGUUCCAGCCUUAAUAUCAACUAUAUAUGAAAUUACACAUGCAAGUUUCCGCACUCCCGUGAGGACCUCCUUUAACUAUAAACAUAAAAAAGAGAUGGUAUCAGGCUCACAAUAAGUUAGCCCACAACACCUAGCCACCCACACCCUCAAGGGUACUCAGCAGUGAUAAACCUUAAGCUAUGGACGCAAGCCCGACUAAGUUACGUAUUUUAGAGCUGGUAAACCUCGUGCCAGCCACCGCGGUUAUACGAGGAGCUCAAGCUGAUAUCUCCGGCACAAAGCGUGAUUAAAAUACUAGCUUAACUAAUACUAUAGAAGCCAUCAUGCCUGCUAGUUGAAUAGGUAUGCUUAAAUAUCUCAACAUCGAAAGAAUCUAUAUUAAUAAACUCACUUUGACAUCACGAAAGCAAAACUCACAAACCGGGAUUAGAUACCCCGCUAUGCCUGCCAUAAAUAAACCACCGUCGCCAGGGCACUACGAACAAUCGUUUAAAACCCAAAGAACUUGACGGCACCCUAAACCCACCUAGAGGAGCCUGUCCUAUAACCCGAUACCCCACGUUUUAACCCCGCCGCCUCUCGCCCCCAGUCUAUAUACCGCCGUCGCCAGCCAACCUUAUAAAAGAAUAACCGUAGGCAAAGAAGCUAUCUAUGCAAAUACGUCAGGUCGAGGUGCAGCCUAUGAGGCAGGCAGAGAUGGGCUACACUCUCUCCCCAGAGUAUACGAAUAACUUAAUGAAAUAAUUUUGAAGGUGGAUUUAGCAGUAAACAAGAAUAGUUUGUCUAGUUGAAGUUGGCCACUAGGGUGCGUACACACCGCCCGUCACUCUCCCACACCCCUCCCGGAGAAAAGUCGUAACAUGGUAAGCGUACCGGAAGGUGCGCUUGGAAAA